rnacentral:rRNA from 1 species
UACGGGGGGGGCAAGCGUUGUUCGGAAUCACUGGGCGUAAAGGGCGCGUAGGCGGCUUUAUAAGUCGGGGGUGAAAGCCUGUGGCUCAACCACAGAAUUGCCUUCGAUACUGUAGAGCUUGAGACCGGAAGAGGUAAGAGGAACUGCGAGUGUAGAGGUGAAAUUCGUAGAUAUUCGCAAGAACACCAGUGGCGAAGGCGGCUUACUGGUCCGGUUCUGACGCUGAGGCGCGAAAGCGUGGGGAGCAAACAGG